AUUCCAGCUCCAAUAGCGUAUAUUAAUGUUGUUGCAGUUAAAAAGCUCGUAGUUGGAUUUCUGGUGGGAGUGGCCGGUCCGCCGUAAGGUGUGUACUUGGUUGUCUCCCGUCAUCCUUGUGGGAACUGCUCUGGCAUUAAGUUGUCGGGGUUAGGGAACACAUCGUUUACUGUGAAAAAAUUAGAGUGUUUAAAGCAGGCUUAUGCCGUUGAAUACAUUAGCAUGGAAUAAUAAGAUAGGACUUUGGUACUAUUUUGUUGGUUUUCGGAAAUCGAGUUAAUGAUUAACAGGGACAAUUGGGGGCAUUAGUAUUCAGACGACAGAGGUGAAAUUCUUGGACCGUCUGAAGACUGACUACUGCGAAAGCAUUUGCCAAGAGUGUUUUCAUCA
rnacentral:rRNA from 1 species